AUUGAACGCUGGCGGCAUGCUUUACACAUGCAAGUCGAACAGUAACAGGCCUUCGGGUGCUGACGAGUGGCGAACGGGUGAGUAAUGCAUCGGAACGUGCCCAAUCGUGGGGGAUAACGUAGCGAAAGUUACGCUAAUACCGCAUAAGCCCUGAGGGGGAAAGCAGGGGAUCGCAAGACCUUGCGCGAAUGGAGCGGCCGAUGUCAGAUUAGCUAGUUGGUGGGUAAAGGCCUACCAAGGCGACGAUCUGUAGCGGGUCUGAGAGGAUGAUCCGCCACACUGGGACUGAGACACGGCCCAGACUCCUACGGGAGGCAGCAGUGGGGAAUUUUGGACAAUGGGCGCAAGCCUGAUCCAGCCAUGCCGCGUGCGGGACGAAGGCC
rnacentral:rRNA from 1 species